UCUAAACAACCUGCCGCCCGGGAAAGUCCACACCGCACCUUCAGAGGAAUGUGCAGCUCCGUGCUCCGCUGGAAACGCUCUGCGGCAGGAAUGCGCUCUGGGCGGCGACGCGGCAAGAGAGCGGCAAACUACCGCAGCAGCGCCGGAAGCGAGAGGAGACUUUGUCCCCGUCUCCGGCUGCUGUGGGAAACAGACGAGGAUCAAUGAUUAACGCGGGGAUGAUGGAGGUGAUGGAGCACCGCCCUCUCUUCAUGUGUUCUCUCUUCUAACGAUGAAUUCACUUUUGCAAACUGUUGUUCAUCAUUACAUUACAUGUCAUUUGUUAGACGCUUUUAUCCAAAGCGACUUACAUACAUUCAGUACUGUGGACAAUCCCCACAGGAGCAAUUUGGGGUGAAGUGUCUUACCCAGGGACACAACGACAUGCUGACUGCUGUGGGACUCCAACUUGCUACCCCCUGAUUCGAAGUCCAGCCCUCUAUCCACUGAGCCACAGCUCUAUCCACUAAGCCACAGCCGCACUCAUCAAGAGAAAUCCUUUAAACUAAAUGUUAAGGCAUUGCUGUUUAAGGGAAUGCAAUUAAACUGUAUUUACUAUUCUUUUGCAAGGUUGCAAUAAAAGGUGUUUAACAUGAA